rnacentral:misc_RNA from 1 species
AACAAGGCGUACCUGCGGACCUGCGGAAGGAUCAUUACAGAGUUGCAAGACUCCCUAAACCAUUGUGAACCUACCUUCUACCGUUGCUUCGGCGGGCGGGCCCAGCGCCCCCCCGGCCCCCCGCGGGCGCCCGCCGGAGGAUACCCAAACUCUUGACAUUAGUGGCCUCUCUGAGUAUUCUUUACUGAAUAAGUCAAAACUUUCAACAAUGGAUCU